GUUUUUCGGAGUCGGUAUCUGCCUGGCUGUGCUUCCUCCUUCAUCAUGUGGUUUUAAAGAGAAGCCAUGAGGCCUGCAGGCCCCACUGGGCAGGAAAGAGGCACCGUGUGGUGGCUGGCAGGGAAGGGCGGCCCCCAGAGUGCGUGUGAAUGUGAGCAUCCCAUGAGUAUCCGUGUGUAAGCAUGUGUAAGACAGUGUGUGUAAGCAUGUGACUGCAUGUGUAAGCAUGUGACUGCAUGUGUAAGGCAUGUGUAAGACUGUGUGUGUAAGCAUGUGUAAGACCAUGUGUAAGACUGCGUGUGUAAGACCGUGUGUAAGACUGCGUGUGCAAGACCGUGUGUAAGACUGCGUGUGUAAGACCGUGUGUAAGACUGAAUGUGUAAGACCGCAUGUGUAAGACCGUGUGUAAGACUGCAUGUGUAAGACUGCAUGUGUAAGACUGUGUGUAAGACCGUGUGUAAGACUCCGUGUGUAAGACCGUGUGUAAGACUGCGUGUGUAAGACCGUGUGUAAGACCGUGUGUAAGACUGCGCGUGUAAGACUGUGUAAGACCGUGUGUAAGACCGUGUGUAAGACUGCAUGUGUAAGACCGUGUGUAAGACUGCAUGUGUAAGACCAUAUGUAAGACCGUGUGUAAGACUGCGUGUGUAAGACUGCGUGUGUAAGACCGUGUGUAAGACCGCUUGUGUAAGACUGCGUGUGUAAGACCAUGCGUAAGGCUGUGUGUAAGACUGCGUGUGUAAGACCGUGUGUAAGACCGUGUAAGACUGCUUGUGUAAGACCGCGUGUGUAAGACUGCGUGUGUAAGACCAUGCGUAAGGCCGUGUGUAAGACUGCGUGUGUAAGACCGUGUGUAAGACCGUGUGUAAGACUGCUUGUGUAAGAUUGCGUGUGUAAGACCGUGUGUAAGACUGCGUGUGUAAGACCAUGCGUAAGGCCGUGUGUAAGACUGCGUGUGUAAGACUGUGUGUAAGACCGUGUGUAAGACUGCGUGUGUAAGACCGUGUGUAAGACCGUAAGACUGCGUGUGUAAGACCGUAAGACCGCGUGUAAGACUGCGUGUGUAAGACCGCGUGUAAGACUGCGUGUGUAAGACUGCGUGUGUAAGGCCGUGCGUAAGACUGCGUGUGUAAGCAGAGGGCCCUGUUGGGAACCUGAAAAGGUGUCCAGGGCAACCUCAGCUGACCCCAGCCUCUAUGCGGCCUCUGGGUUGGGAAACGCUGUUUCUCUUCUGUCUGGAGACCCCUCAGGAGGAAGGGUCUCCCGUCUGCUGGGUGAGGGGCUGAAGUUCGGGCCCCCUUGCCUCCCUCCCUCAAGGGCAAGGCAGCGAAUGGCGCUCGGCUGCCCCGGGCUGCCCUCGUCUAGGCCCCAUGCGGGUUCCCUGGGGGCCUCCUGAUGCUGGCCUGGGUCUUUACUUUUGCGGCCCUCGGGCCCUGUGGGGACUCGGUCCCACCCAGCUGCACACCUCUCUAUGGGGCCAAGAUGUGGUCCUGGAGAUGCCCAAGAUGGGACCCACCGGGAGAAACUGCGCCAAGGGCAGGCUGGCCUCUACGCGGCGUUUCUUACAACUGCACACCCAGCCACGUGAUUUCAAGGAACAUUUCAGUGGAAAGAACACCCACUCCAAAAAUC
rnacentral:lncRNA from 1 species